UGGACGCAUGUGGAGAGCAUGAGCCGGGAAAGGAAAGACCGGUGCAAGCGGGACAGUAGCCAUGCAGGCAAAUCCGUGUGGCAAUACGAAGACGUGACGCGGACCGAAAUAAAGUAGGGAAGCAUGUGAGCCAUGUGCCAAGAAAAGCCGCUAUAGAUCAUACCGUACCCGUACCGUAAACCGACACAGGUAGAUGAGGAGAGAAUCCUAAGGCCGACGGGAGAGGCAUUGUUAAGGAACUCGGCAAAAUGACCCCGUAACUUCGGGAGAAGGGGUGCCCACGCGAGUGGGCCGCAGAGAAUAGGCUCAAGCAACUGUUUAGCAAAAACACAGGUCUAUGCGAAACCGAAAGGUGAGGUAUAUGGGCUACGCCUGCCCGGUGCUGGAAGGUUAAGAGGAGGAGUCAGGCAACGAAGCUCCGAAUUUAAGCCCCAGUAAACGGCGGCCGUAACAAUAACGGUCCUAAGGUAGCGAAAUUCCUUGUCGGGUAAGUUCCGACCCGCACGAAAGGCGUAAUGAUUUGAGCACUGUCUCGACAAUGCACCCGGUGAAAUUGAAGUACCAGUGAAGAUGCUGGUUACCUGCGCCAGGACGGAAAGACCCCAUGGAGCUUUACUCCAGUUUGAUACUGGGAUUCGAUACUGAAUGUACAGGAUAGGUGGGAGGCUGAGAAGCGUGGACGCCAGUCUGCGGUGAGCCGCUGUUGGGAUACCACCCUUUGAGUAUUGGAUUUCUAACCUGCGCCCGUGACCCGGGCGGGGGACAAUGUCUGACGGGGAGUUUGACUGGGGCGGUCGCCUCCGAAAGGGUAUCGGAGGCGCUCAAAGGUUCCCUCAGAAUGGUUGGAAACCAUUCGCAGAGUGCAAAGGCAGAAGGGAGCUUGACUGUGACACCGACGGGUGGAGCAGGUACGAAAGUAGGACUUAGUGAUCCGGUGGUAUGAAAGUGGGAUUGCCAUCGCUCAACGGAUAAAAGCUACCCUGGGAUAACAGGCUUAUCACUCCCAAGAGUUCACAUCGACGGAGUGGUUUGGCACCUCGAUGUCGGCUCAUCGCAUCCUGGGGCUGUAGCAGGUCCCAAGGGUUGGGCUGUUCGCCCAUUAAAGCGGUACGCGAGCUGGGUUCAGAACGUCGUGAGACAGUUCGGUCCCUAUCCGGCGCAGGCGUAGGAUAUUUGAGAGGAGCUGUCCUUAGUACGAGAGGACCGGGAUGGACAGACCGCUGGUGUAUCUGUUGGUGACCAACACCAUGGCAGGGUGGCCAAGUCUGGCAGGGAUAAACGCUGAAGGCAUCUAAGCGUGAAGUCCCCCUCAAGAUGAGAUAUCCCAAUAAGUAAGACCCCUUAGAGAGUAUGAGGUAGAUAGGCUUAAGGUGUAAGCAUAGUAAUAUGUUCAGCUGACAAGUACUAAUAGGUCGAGGGCUUAUU
rnacentral:rRNA from 1 species